rnacentral:tRNA from 1 species
GGCUAGCUCAGUCAAUAGAGCAUGAGACUCUUAAUCUCAGGGUCAUGGGUUCAAGCCCCAUGAUGGACA